CAAGCACCGACCUUCCACACUCAUCAGAGGGUCAUUAGAGGACAAUUCAGCGCGUUAAAAGGAUGAUAAGUCCCUCUAGCAGCCGCCUCUUGCUGUGAUGGAUAGAUGAUGGCUUUCGUCUCUUCCUUCUCUCCUCGUUUCGCCCCGCCCUGUGUAGGCCUCGGGCUGCGGCGCCUGGAAUGGCGGCGCUCGCUCGUCCUGCAGGCCUCACCUUCCUCGCUCUCUCGCUCCCCGAGGGACAGGCUUCAGGGACGUUUGGUGCAGCGCCGUCUGCACUUUUGGAGAUUUGAAUCAAGUUCUCCAUUGCAGAGUUGGAGUUCCCAGGCUGACGGGGAUGGUGAGGGUGAUUAUGCCUAAGAGGAACAUUCGUAUACAGAUGUUUCGUCCAGAGUCCGAAGGCGGAGCCAAAACACCUCUGGCGGAUCUCUCCACAUUUGCACGCGACGUUCGGCCAAACCCCGAGCGUUUUAAAUGUAGAUUAAGUCCAUUUGUACUUCCGACUGAGGCUUCUGGUGCUGUUGUUUUUCCUUGUUAGAUUGAAUGGUUGGUAACUUUCAUUUAACCAAAAAAUGUAUGCACUAUAAAGCAGAGAGUGGCAUGGGGGAUGCAAGAUGAGCCGACUGAGAGCGAACUUCGUAAACGGAGAAACGUGUUUAAUAGAAUUCAGAUUGACAGCACAUCUUUCUGCAUAAGCAUAUCAUUAAUUAAGAUUACAUUGAAUAAUAGUGAAAAGAAAAAAAAAAA